GAUGAACGCUAGCGGCAGGCUUAACACAUGCAAGUCGAGGGGCAUCAGCCGAUGUAGCAAUACAUUGGUGUUGGCGACCGGCGUAAGGGUGCGUAACGCGUGAGCAACAUGCCCGCAACAGGCGGAUAGACCGUGGAAACGCGGCGUAAACCGCCAUAGGACCAGUAGCAGCAUUGCAACAGGUUGAAAUCUUCGGAGGUUGCGGAUUGGCUCGCGUAACAUUAGUUAGUUGGUGAGGUAACGGCUCACCUAGGCAAUGAUAGGUAGGCGGCCUUAACGGGUGGUCGCCCACACUGGGAUUGAGAUACGGCCCAGACUCCUACGGGAGGCAGCAGUCGAGAAUAGUCUACAAUGGACGAAAGUCUGAUAGUGCGACGCCGCGUGAACGAAGAAUCCUUUCGGGGUUAAAGUUCUUUUCUAUGUGAGCAGUUCCUUUUAUAUGAAGAGUAUAGGAGGCGGGAUUUAAGCAAUAGGAAUAAGCAACGGCUAACUCCGUG
rnacentral:rRNA from 1 species